rnacentral:rRNA from 1 species
AUACGAAAGGUGCAAGCGUUGUUCGGAUUUACUGGGCGUAAAGAGAGUGUAGGUUGUUUAUUAAGUCGGAUGUGAAAUCCCGGGGCUCAACCUCGGAACUGCAUUCGAUACUGGUAGACUAGAGUUCGGGAGGGGUAAGCGGAAUUCCGUGUGUAGCAGUGAAAUGCGUAGAUAUACGGAGGAGCACCUGAGGCGAAGGCGGCUUACUGGACCGAUACUGACACUGAGACUCGAAAGCGUGGGUAGCAAACAGGAUUAGAAACCCCAGUAGUCC